rnacentral:rRNA from 1 species
AUUGAACGCUGGCGGAAUGCUUUACACAUGCAAGUCGAACGGCAGCACGGGGGCAACCCUGGUGGCGAGUGGCGAACGGGUGAGUAAUACAUCGGAACGUGCCCGGUCGUGGGGGAUAACGUAGCGAAAGUUACGCUAAUACCGCAUACGAUCUGAGGAUGAAAGCGGGGGACCUUCGGGCCUCGCGCGAUCGGAGCGGCCGAUGUCAGAUUAGGUAGUUGGUGGGGUAAAGGCCUACCAAGCCGACGAUCUGUAGCUGGUCUGAGAGGACGACCAGCCACACUGGGACUGAGACACGGCCCAGACUCCUACGGGAGGCAGCAGGGGGAAUUUUGGACAAUGGGCGCAAGCCUGAUCCAGCCAUUCCGCGUGCAGGACGAAGGCCUUCGGGUUGUAAACUGCUUUUGUAUGGAACGAAAAGGCUCUGGCUAAUACCUGGGGCUCAUGACGGUACCGUAAGAAUAAGCACCGGCUAACUACGUG